UACGGAGGGUGCGAGCGUUGUCCGGAAUCAUUGGGCGUAAAGGGCGCGUAGGUGGCCUGUGGAAGUCUGCGGUGAAAGCCCGGCGCUCAACGCCGGGUCGGCCGUGGAUACUCUCGGGCUUGAGCUUACUAGAGGCAGAUGGAAUUCCGGGUGUAGCGGUGGAAUGCGUAGAGAUCCGGAAGAACACCGGUGGCGAAGGCGGUCUGCUGGGGUAAUGCUGACACUGAUGCGCGACAGCGUGGGGAGCAAACAGG
rnacentral:rRNA from 1 species